UACGGAGGGUGCAAGCGUUAUCCGGAUUCACUGGGUUUAAAGGGUGCGUAGGUGGGCUGGUAAGUCCGUGGUCAAAUCUCCAAGCUUAACUUGGAAACUGCCGUGGAUACUAUUAGUCUUGAAUCUCGUGGAGGUAAGCGGAAUAUGUCAUGUAGCGGUGAAAUGCUUAGAUAUGACAUAGAACACCAAUUGCGAAGGCAGCUUACUACCCGAAUAUUGACACUGAGGCACGAAAGCGUGGGGAUCAAACAGG
rnacentral:rRNA from 1 species